GAUGAACGCUGGCGGCGUGCCUAAUACAUGCAAGUCGAACGAACAGAUGAGGAGCUUGCUGCUCUGACGUUAGCGGCGGCCAGGUGAGUAACACGUGGAUAGCCUCCCUAUCAGACUGGGUGAACUACGGGAAACCGGAGCUACUACCGGAUGAUAUAUUGAACCGCAUGGUUCAUUAGUGAAAGACGGUUUUGGUGUCACUUAUAGAUGGAUCCGCGCCGCAUUAGCUGGUUGGUAAGGUAACGGCUUACCAAGGCGACGAUGCGUAGCCGACCUGAGAGGGUGGUCGGCGACACUGGAACGGAGACACGGCGCAGAAGACUACGGGGGGAGGCAGCAGGGAGGCUUACGGCACGGUGGGAAGAAUGACGAUGCAACGACGCGGGGGUGAUGAUGGUGGUCGUCGCGUUAUGAUCUGCUAUCGGGGAAGAACAAGUGUGUAAGUAACUAUGCGCGUCUUGACGGUACCUGAAUAAAAAGCCCCGGCUAACUACGUG
rnacentral:rRNA from 1 species